rnacentral:rRNA from 1 species
AACGAACGCUGGCGGCGCGCCUAAUACAUGCAAGUCGAGCGAGAAGACGUAGCAAUACGUUUGUAAAGCGGCGAACGGGUGAGGAAUACAUGGGUAACCUACCCUCGAGUGGGAAUAACUAGCCGAAGGUUAGCUAAUACCGCGUACGCUCCUUGGACUUCGGUUCAGGGAGGAAAGCGAUACCGUGGGUAUCGCGCUCUUGGAUGGGCUCAUGUCCUAUCAGCUUGUUGGUGAGGAACGGCUCACCAAGGCUUCGACGGGUAGCUGGUCUGAGAGGACGAUCAGCCACACUGGCACUGCGACACGGGCCAGACUCCUACGGGAGGCAGCAGUAAGGAUAUUGCGCAAUGGGCGAAAGCCUGACGCAGCGACGCCGCGUGGGGGA